GAGCCCUCACGUUAGGGAGUGGCCCAUUGUAUGCAGGCAGCAAAUAGCCCGGCGUCCGCCCCCCGUUCCCCCAGCCCCGAGUGUCUGUAGUCGGCUGCUCGGGACCGCGGGGCUGUCCCUAUCGUCCCCCCCCCGCCCCCACUUCUCCCACCCCCGGCUGCCAGCCCCCUGCUGGGGCCGCCGAGCGGGGAGAUCCCGGCAGCCGGCGGGAGGGGAGCCCCCUCCGAACACCCGGGGAACCCCCGCAGCAUCACAGCCCACCCCGCCUCGCUGCGGCUGGAGGGGAGGGAGGGGAAGGGGAGGGCAUCCCCGGCCCCCCGCGGGGGUUUGCUUUCGCCGCCGGAGCAGGAAGGAGGGGAGGAUGGGGAUGAAGGAUGCCGGGAGAGGAGGCUGCGGGCUCUGCCUCGCCGAUGCGGCUCUCUCGGAGCCGAGCCGAGCUUCCAGCCGGGGAAGGGGUUUGGGGGCAGCGCGGCUGUGCAUCCUCCAGCCGCGCCGGGCUUCGGGUUUCGGCACGGCUCUCCUGCGGGGGUUGCUGGUCCUACUACCGUAACACAGGCUGCGGUCCUCAAAGCAGUCGCCAAAGUGGAUGACUCUAUGUGGGAGCGGAGCCGAACACAGCUACAGCCCCUGCCCUGAGCCAUGGAACUCAGCUGAAGCCCCCAUCCUGCUCUGACAUCUAUAGCAGAUCCCAAAUCCAGAAGGGAUGGAAUCAUCAGCCCUCUCAGUUUCCUGGCUGCAAGGAAGCCAAGAUGUGCUUUGUGCUCACUGCAGCCCUGUUUACCCUGGGAUUUCUGCCACAACAUCGCAUCAGAAUCCCCUUUUUCUCUUAGAGCUGAUCUGUGAAAACCUCCCCGCAGAGCUGAGUAUUCAUAUAGCUGCACCUCGGUGGGAUACAAAGGGUCCAAUCUAAUCCUUCCUCCUUGACAGCUAAUAAUAAUUAAAUAAAAGAGACAAAGCCUUACAGAUUGCGUGUUGUUUCCAUGAGAUGUCCCCCUCCCCCAUCUGGGGGAGUUUUCCUGGUAUCUCCUGAAGAGAUGCCAACAAACCCAAAAGCCCUUCCAGACACACAGGGAAACAGAUUUGCCACCUACUCGAGCAGCUCCUGCACUGCUUCCCAAAGGAUUUCUGCUCGGAGCCAUCCUUCUAUUUCCCAGAGCUGGAGGGAAAACACAUGGAAAGACAUCUGGAGAUGGAGGGGCCACACUUCUACACACCUGCUCUAACAUCUAUCGGCAUCAUCUGAAUAUCAUUUACAGCCAUAUUACCGAUGAGGGCACUGGGAGGACGUGCUCUGAGAAAGGUGCUGAAGAGCAGAACCACUGGGAUCAUUCUCUGAGAUGACAGAUUCGAAGCUUGAGGACCUCCUGACCUAGCAAUCCCAGACAGAACAAGACCAAGUACAUGGAGGGUGAAGAUAUCUAACUGCAGAGGGCUUUUAUUAUUUUUUUUUAGGGUUUUUAAUGCUUAGCGCUGAGGAAAUAUAAGCUGUGGCUAUUGCUCCUGCCUGCUAAAUGAACACAAAAUGAAGCCCAACAGUCCAUCAGUGGAACAGCCUGCAGUCAUGCACAAAACACUGCCAGCCUUGGUCUUAAGUCAUAGUUGCAGGUUUGAUCUUUAUUUUAAAAAGCUAUGACCUAGUUUAAGCGUAAGUUACAGUCUGUGAUCUGCAGAUGGUCCAAGUGAUCAAAAUGUCACCUUCUGGCUUCCUUCUGUGUGACCUCCAAGAAAUCAGGCCAGCCAAAAGAGCACACAAAAGUCUUACUGGGGAGACUGACAUCAACAUCUGCUCCUUGAAAUUGCCCAUGGAAGCAAGGAGGAGUUGCUCAUGAAACCUUACAGCUGUGCAGAAAAAUAAAAGGUAGCUAUGACAGCCAGCUCUUCCUUCCCCAGACUGCAGAUAAGCCUGAUGAAAUUAGCUGCUGCUGCCUCAAGCUGUUUUCCUUUUCUCUGCAGCAACAAGGUGCAGCUGAAAACCAGAGCCUGUAUUAGCACCUGCUCAGGGACUGAGGAGCUGCGGGGCUGGUGCUGGUCUCAAGGCAUUAAAGCCCAUCCAUCUGUAGGCCUGUCCUUUUCUUCCUCUUUGUACAUUUUCUAGGGUGAUUUCACUGAUUCCCUUGGGAAUUGCUCUGGCUCUACAAUGUGGCCAACAUGGUCAACUUUGGACUUGACAUACAUCUCGGUGAAAUAGGAGGAAAUAGAAAGAACUUGUUAAAAGAUAUAUAUAUAUAUAUAUAUAUAUAUAUGUAUGUAUGUAUGUAUGUACAUAUGUGUGUAUGUAUUAAAUACCUCCAUAGAAAAGAUGCUAAUAUGAGGAAGAGACUCCAGGUCUGCUGGUCUGAGAGAAGGCAGGUCAGAUGUUCCCUGGAUUUCAAUUGCAGCAGCGUUGACCUAGCAGAAAACCCAGAAGUGGAAACCAGUCCACAGAAACAGGACAAGAGAUAAUGGUUUUAAGUUGUGUUUGGGGAGAUUCGAUUUGGAUAGUAGAAAAAAAUUUAUUCUCUGAAAGAGUGGUGAGACAUUGGAACAGUCUGCCCAGGGAGGUGGUGGAGUCACUGUCCCUGGAGGUGUUCAAGAAACCUGGAGAUGUAGCAAUAACUGACAUGGUUAUUGGGCAUGGUGGUGAUGGGUUGAUGGUUGGAUUAGGUGAUCUUAGUGAUCUUUCCAGCCUUAAGGAUUAUGUGUAACCACCUGUGUCACCUCUCUUCUCUCAAAUCUCCACCACUCAAUUAUCACCAAAGCACUGGACGGCCUCCUGUGUUACCCAAAGCAAUGGGAGACCAACUGCCAGAUGCCAUUGGCUCCGCCACCUACUAGAUCCAUGGAAAAAAAAAAACUGAGUAUUAAAAAGACAAUAAAUCUUUACCUAUAUAAAUUAUGGUGUGGACAAAAGAAAUUAAUAAAAUGUAUCUUCAGAGUGUCUCAAUGCCAUUAAAAGAGUAUCUCAAACCAAUUAAAAGAGCAUCCAUAAUUCACUCAUGCUCACUCCCAUGGAUCUGUGGCGUAGUACAGAAAGCACGUGUGCGUCCAUAAUCUUGUCCCAUCAUUUCAUAUAGUCCUUGUUUUUGAGACAGGAGGAAGGCUUUCAGUCAGCAAGGUUUAUGCAUUUAUCGGCCUUCUCUGUCAGUAGCUCCAAACCUUGGACUCUGGGUCCUUCUGAUCUCGGACUAUCUUAGUCUGUGACUUUCUUGAAAAAACACUUGUCUCAACCCACUGAGCAGAGCACACUUAACCUUUUCAGGCUAUUGGAUCUGCCUUAUCACAAUUUACUUUCAGGCCCAGGAGACAGGACAGCAUUGCAACACUGAAAGUCAAAGGGCCUGAAAAAAAAUAACGUGGUUAUUCAGGGAGGGAAAGCAAACAAAUAAAGAUGGGUCUCCAUGGGUCUUUCAUAUUCCCUCAUCCCAUCUCAUGUUUUGUGACUUUCCCUCAGCCGUGUGGAAUUUCUCACUUUCCCUCCUGACUGUCUUUGAAAGAAAGCAAGGCGAGAUCUCACCUCCAUGUGCUGGGACAUCACAGGGUCAACCUGAAAUCCCAAUGUUUGAACUCUCAUUGCUGCAAUUGACAACUCUGAGGAAUAUGUUGUGGAAUUGUUACUACUGAAAUUAUUUUUCUAUUUAUUUUCAGAUAGUUUUUAGGCUUGCAGAUUGUGCCUAAUAGGAUAUAGUGUCUAAGUGAAUCUAUCAAUCAGACACUUUCUCCUACCAUGGAAAUAAUGAAUUAAAAAGAAAGUACUGCAAGUCUGAUCAUGCUGUGGAUUCAACAACAAAUGGAGAUUUUCUAGAGUUACUAGGAGGUGCAGUUUGUGCCUGCUUUUGCAAGGACAUCACAUCAAGUUUCCUUUUUGUCUUUAGACCUGAAGAAAUCAUGUUUGCAGUUCUGGGCUCCCCAGUACAAAAAAUAUUCUGUGAUUCUGUGAUUGGAAGAAUAAUAUAAGGGAAAGGGGUUGCCACAUAUGAGAGAAACCUUUGAAUAUUCAUCUGUAUAUGACAUAAACUGACCUAUUGCAAUUCCUUCUAGUGGAGAUAGGUAAGAUAGGCCUUUGCUUUGGGUGUCUUGAAUGUCAGAAUCUUGUUUCUCCAUAGUAUUCCAUUAUUGUCAGUAAAAUAGGAAGAUGACUGAAUGCUGGAACAAAAUCAGAACCAGUUUUGAUCAGGACCAUAACAUAUGAAGUAUCACACAAAUGGACAUGGAGAUGUUGGUUUUCAGGCUAUCACUGUGCAUGGUCUGCUAAGGAGUAUGCAGUAGGCCUAUAUGGGCAGAGUCCUAUUAACUUCAGUGGGAGCUUCCUGUGAUAGAUAGGAAGCAGUCCUCAGGUAUUAUCUCAGUGCUGUGUCUGACUUCUAAACACCUAGCUGCACAGAGGAUCAACUGAAUUGUCUGACAUGUAUUUUAAUUUCAAGGAACUUAACCCAGAAAUGCACUCUGAUUCACAAAUAUGAGCUCUUCCCACAUGAAAGCCAACACCGAUUUGCAAAGUCAUCCCACCUCUGUUUUGUAUUCAGCCCUUCAUUGUUGAACAUCUUUUGAAAGAGGCUGUGAACUGACAAUGAUCCUGUUGGCAAAGUUUUUGCCCACAGUCUUUGGUAGACUCCAGUCCUCCAAAUAUGCCACUUACCACUUUCCCCAAGCACAGCAAGAAGUUGUGCUGUGUUAGGACAGCUUCUGGCUUCACAGAUGUAAAAGACAUAAUCUAUUUCCAACCUCUCUCUCCCUGCCCAG
ensembl:lncRNA